ensembl:lncRNA
GCCUAGUGUAUGUGUCAUGCUCCGAUUGGUUGUUUUAAUCAUGUAUCUUGUUCCUUAUUGGUUAUUGUCCUGUCAUGUGACUCUCAGUUCUGUUUGCUCAUUAGUUGAUACUUGUCAUAUGUCCCUUAAUGAUUGAUACAAAUAGCCCUCAUGUUGUCAUUGUUCCUUGUCUAGCUUUAUGAUGUUUUAACCUGCUGUUGGGAAUGCAUGAACUGAUUAAAAAGUGUUUACCCUCAAUGCAAUGCAGUCGCUUUGGAUAAAAGGACCUGCCAAAUGCAUAAAUGUAAAGAAUCGCAUGGACAUAUUGCAGCUCAGGGAAAAUCCACCCUGUGGAGAACAGUGACAGCCCAAGGACAUGUUCUGAAGGCCUUCAGACAAUUUGGAGAGGGAAAAAAAGUGCUAAAACCAUUGUAAACUCAUCAAACCAGGGGCCACGUCUCUGUUUUUAUCAGGGGUGGGAAGGUGGGCGAGAGGCCUGGAUGCUGGUAAGCUUUGAGGGAGCUUCUGGAUCCGGUCGUGGGCCUCUAUUGAUGAAGACUUUGAUCCAUUGUGCUCAGUUCCCUCUUUAGAGUGCAUGUGUUAGAGAUAUUUGUAGAACACCAUGCCAGUUAUAAUUACAUUAACUGAACAGUAGCUGAGGGAAGUCUCAAAGGUAACAUUUCUUAAACUCACAUUACACAUGUUGCUAUUACAACAUAUUGUAUUAACAAUAGCUGUUUCCUUUGUACAUUCACAAGCUCUCGCUCCAGGAGUUUCUUUGACAUUUGGGACGUUUUUGGCCUUGAGUUUUCCAGGCUAAUCGUGCCUUACCUAACGACCUGGCACGAUCUGAUCUAAGUCAUUGAUUUCAGUGAUGAAUUAGGGUUAUUUUUGAAAAAUGAGAAAAGGAUCUGAAGAUUACUAGAUUAAUUUCCAUCACGCUUCCAGCUCCGCCUGGCCUGAGAUCUGUGCUUCAGUUGGAAUGGACACUCAUAAAUAAGGCUAUUACUGCAAUCAGAAGGAAAUAUGAAAAAGGUGGACUUUCAUCUGUUGAAUGUUAGUAUAGGAAAGCUUUCAUUAUGAGGGAAAAUGAAUCCAGAAUUGAGGGUCUCACUAGCAGGCCAAGAGAUCCCAGGCUCACUGUAGAUCAGUCAUCAAAUUUACUAGUAUCGUAUUUAUAGUUAUAGAAAAUUUUGGAAUGAAAACGGGUUCUCUGCUUUUUCUCACUUCGAACUUAAUGUGUUCCUGCUUUGUGAACUCACUCUACAGCUAUACGGUUCUACUGUAACUUUUCCAUCACUAUUACUUACCUGUAUUGAUGCAUUUUUCCCCCCUCUUUAAUUCAGAUCAUUUUACUUUCACAAAUACAUAGUGGCCCCAAAAAUGUUUUGGAUGCUUAAGCCAAAUUAUAAUAAAUACAUUGUUUAAAUACAACUUCAUGCAUAGACGAAAAAUGAUCUUUCUUUAAAAAAAAAAAAAGAAAAACACUUCUUUGCAGAUGCCUUUUGGUUUGGUAUUUCCUAUGUAAUCCAGUGAAGGUCAAAUUUUAAAAACUGAAGUGUUUAAAUACUUUUAGGAAUCACUGUGUUUCAGGGUUGCCAGGUCUGUGUAAAAAAAAAAAAAAACCCGUCCCAAUCAUGGCCAAACCUAGCCCAAUUGUGUUCUGGGGGAAUAUGGCUAUAAAAAUCACUACAAAGAUGUGUUUUGAGGGGUGAAAGCCUCCUUCCAGGGGGUUCCACCUUGAUCGAAGUUGCAUUCCAGGGGGGCGGGGGGUUUGGUUUCAAACCUGCGGACUGAAAACACAACCUGCGGUAGCAGUAUAAAAGUAGCUUAAUUCUGCAGGAAAACCACAAACUUGGCAACUUUGCUAUAUCUGCUAUGUUUGAAUACACUUAAUCCUUGAAUUUUUAUGCAAAUAGAAACCCUUCUAAUUCUUAUCACAAAUAAAGAAUUUUGACUUAUUUCAGCAUUUACUUUUUGUUAUAUCUGAAUAAGGUCAUAGAGAAGAAAGGGCAACAGAGCAAAUAAAGAAUAU